UAAAUUAGUUCAUCACAGGAAGUUCUGUUUGGGUUAUGUCUCACUUGAAUAAGRCUUAAAAACUUUCGCACUAAGAAUUGGGAAAAAAAGACCAGUGUGUGUAGUAGAGCAGAAGAAGAACACAAUUAAAGUUCUUGGAAGGUUCGACCCUGCCUCGGAGAUCCUGUGUACUAACAGUACAUAUAGGUUCAGUUCAUAAUUCUGUCUGUCGAGCUUCGUGAAGAAAGUCUAUCGAGUGCAAGUUGUGCGGCAAGAUAGGCCUAAAAACUGAUCAUACGAAUAAUGUAAGGUCAACAAGCUUUAACAGAAAUGCUGAAAGAAGCGGUUCUUUAAUCGUUGUCUACUUUAGUUUGCCGAACGCCGUUCAGACAAUCACAUAAACGUUAAAAUAAAACUAGUAUACGUUUGCGAGAGAGCCCUUGAAGUAUUACAUAAGAAUAUAGAAGCAUCUUGUAGAAACAGAUGCAAAUGAAUUCUGAAUCUCGCAUGACCGAGUACGCCCAAUUGGAAAUAUGUCCGGGUUAAUAAAAUGUAACGAAAUUACGCGGGAAAACGCUAACUUCUCACUGCGACCCUCCCUGGAUUUAUAUCUGACACGAAGUGAAUUUAGGCGUGAUUAAAUCAAAUCUGACACGGGAUAACUGGCACUAGCUAUAUUAGGUAAUAAUGAACCAGCAGAUACCAAGUACAAGACUUCUUGUGAGAAUUUAUAGGCACAUAUAAACUAUCCGUAGCAGAGCUCGUGUAUAUCACUAGAAUGAAUAUCUUCAAUAACAAAGAAUAAUCAAUCAGUCAUAGCUCCCACAUGUUUUGAUUGAUGUUGUAGUCUUAUGGUUGUGUGUUAUGCGCCUACCCAGUACUGGAAGAAGAAACUCGUCACCUAAUGGACAUUGGACAGCAUUUUCAAUUAGUCGAAAAACGUUCCAAUGACUGUAAAUUAAAUAGGGAUUGUCCUCACGGAUACGCGUGCUAUCCUAGCAUAAACCCACACAGAUGUUAUACUUAUAUCGUUACCCUUAAGACAAACAAGUAGGCUUGAAUCUAUAACGAGAACUGGAAAUCCAAGCUGAUAUCUGCAAGGAAAAAUCUAGCAAUUCUAAUUUUGCUAUAACUGUAACUUGUAACCUAARAAUAAAUAUACUCUUGCAAUAAAUUGU